AUUGAACGCUGGCGGCAUGCCUUACACAUGCAAGUCGAACGGCAGCGGGGACUUCGGUACGCCGGCGAGUGGCGAACGGGUGAGUAAUGUAUCGGAACGUACCAUCGAGUGGGGGAUCACUAUCCGAAAGGAUAGCUAAUACAGCAUAUUCUCUACGGAGGAAAGUAGGGGACAGCAAGGCCUUGCGCUCCUAGAGCGGCGGAUAUCAGAUUCGCGAGUUGGUGGGGUAAAAGCUCUCCAAGGCGACGAUCUGUAGCGGGUCUGAGAGGAGGAUCGGCCACACUGGAACUGAGACACGGUCCAGACUCCUGCGGGAGGCAGCAGUGGGGAAUGUUGGACAAUGGGGGCAACCCUGAUCCAGCCAUGCCGCGUGAGUGAAGAAGGCCUUCAGGUUGUAAAGCUCUUUCGGCCGGGAAAAAAUCGCUUGGGCUAAUAUCCUGUGUGGAUGAUGGUACCGGAAUAAGAAGCACCGGCUAACUACGUGCCAGCCGCCGCAGUAA
rnacentral:rRNA from 1 species